CUGAACCUUCCACAACUGCCUGUAAGACCCCACACCUUGUCUCCAGGGGACUGGAUUGAUAUGUGUGCAGCUGUGUCCAGCUUUUAUGGGGAUUCCGAACUCACGACAAGCACUUUGCCGGUGGAGCCAUCUCCAGAGCCGCGUCACUUUCUGCUGUGAGUUGUGAAGCGAAUCACUCAGCAGCUCCAGUCUUGAUCCAUUGAAGACAAAGUGAGAGGGGAGCCUCCCCUACGGAGCCUUCAGAACAAACACGGAACAUAUGACCUCUCAUGGAGGCAGAAAGGGUAUGGUCGUCCAGAGAAGACAUUGAGGCACCCACUCUCAUGUGACAUCAGAGACCGCACUGCGAGCAUCUGUGCAAUAGAUCCUGACUCCAGGCCUGUCUGACUGACAUGGAGUCUGUCUCACUUCUGGACUCUUGGCCUUCUGAUCCAGCCCUCUGCCUCUCUGACACUUUUGUGCUUGGCUGGGACCCCAUAGCAUAGGACAGCCAGCCUGAGCCCUCCAGUCCUAGCCAGAGUCCUGGCUCCUGGUUCUCCAUUUCUGCUCCCCAGUGUCCGCUCCUUGGCCGAGGGGCUCACUCAGGAGCCCGUCUCUUUGUGGCGUUGAUUAGAGGCCUCUUCCCACAACAUCAAAGCUUCAAUUAACGCGGGCUGCUCACAACCCUCUUGCAAAACUCUGAUAAGAAUAGAAUUUUCUCUUGGAAAAUGGAUUUUUAUUUAGUUGUGUGUACUGUUGGUUAAAUGACCUACUCUAUACACCAGCGCUGAGAUUCUGGGGACAAUUAGGGGGCUCGUCAGGAACUGGUUAUCUGAAGGAAACAGGCACAGGCUGUUUAGCUGUCUAAUAUCCUGAUGGGGGUUGGGGGGGGGCAGAGGCAAAUUAAAAACAGGCUCCCCCUCUUCCAGAUGUGGGGAUGGGUGCUGGGCUGAGAUGGGGCUCUGUGGGGUGUGUAUGUGUGGCUAGAUGGUUGCUUCCAGCCUUGUGUCUAGACGAAUGCUCUCGUUCUCUGUCUCUGCUCCGUGUGUAUGUGUGUGUGUGUGUGUGUGUGUGUGUAAAUCCAUGUGUGCCAUAUAGGUACUGUCUAGAGUAUAAUCUGGCUUGCAAACAAUAAGAUUCAAGCAUAGAGCAGAGAUGGGGCCCUGGAGUUAGGGAGCAAGGCUUGCUAAGGAUGCUGGCUCCUUAUUUCUU